GUAGGUGAGUAAUCCUCGUCGGGUUCGCCUACGGUCUCCCAGGGGCGACUUUAAAUAAACACCCCCCGAGUCGGCUUCUCUGUAGCUGGCGACGCUAUCAAUCUGUGCUGGGAGCGCUCCUUUUUAGGUGUGACCAGCAGCUUCCACUGAGGAGUUCACAGAUCAAACGGUAGCGGCCACCCACAUGUGGUUUAGAUAUGAUCGGCCCCAGUCGUCGACCGGCUGGCGAUUUGUUUGCGGAACCUGCGGAAGGAUCAUUA
rnacentral:rRNA from 1 species